AUUGAACGCUGGCGGCAGGCCUAACACAUGCAAGUCGAACGAGUGGCGGACGGGUGAGUAAUGUCUGGGAAACUGCCCGAUGGAGGGGGAUAACUACUGUAAACGGUAGCUAAUACCGCAUACCAUCGGAUGUGCCCAGAUGGGAUUAGCUUGUAGGUGAGGUAACGGCUCACCUAGGCGACGAUCCCUAGCUGGUGUGAGAGGAUGACCAGAGAAACUGGAAAUGAGACACGGGCGAGACUACGACGGGGGGCAGCAGUGGGGAAUAGUGAACAAUGGGCGAAAGCAUGAUGCAGCAAUGGCGAGGGGAUGAAGAAGGCAGUAGGGUUGUAAAGUAAGUUAAGCGGGGAGGCGUUACCCGCAGAAGAAGCACAGGCGAAUGCCGGGCCAGCAGACGCGGUAAUUC
rnacentral:rRNA from 1 species